rnacentral:rRNA from 1 species
GAUGAACGCUGGCGGCGUGCCUAAUACAUGCAAGUCGAGCGAACAGACGAGGAGCUUUCUCCUCUGACGUUAGCGGCUGACGGGUGAGUAACACGUGGAUAACCUACCUAUAAGACUUGGAUAACUUCGGGAAACCGGAGCUAAUACCGGAUAAUAUAUUGAACCGCAUGGUUCAAUAGUGAAAGACGGUUUUGCUGUCACUUAUAGAUGGAUCCGCGCCGCAUUAGCUAGUUGGUAAGGUAACGGCUUACCAAGGCAACGAUGCGUAGCCGACCUGAGAGGGUGAUCGGCCACACUGGAACUGAGACACGGUCCAGACUCCUACGGGAGGCAGCAGUAGGGAAUCUUCCGCAAUGGGCGAAAGCCUGACGGAGCAACGCCGCGUGAGUGAUGAAGGUCUUCGGAUCGUAAAACUCUGUUAUUAGGGAAGAAAAAAUGUGUAAGUAACUAUGCACGUCUUGACGGUACCUAAUCAGAAAGCCACGGCUAACUACGUG